GCCUUCGGGCCGGGGGGGGGGGGGGGGGAGAGCUGACCACGUGUUGAUCGCAAACAGCCCCCGCUCCGCCCGCCCGCGGCGGGUACCGGCUCGCGCGGGCUCGCGGCGACACCUAGCGGCCGGCGUGCGCACCUGCGCCUCCGCGGCCGCGCGGGCCCUUUGGGUCUCAAGGUCGCGCCGGGCUGCACUUUGCUUCGCGGACGUUGCGAUGCUGCAGCCAGUUCUGCAAGUCCCGCCGGGCGGGGCCCUGGCUGGGUGCUCUGAGGCCGCCGUGUUCCCUCCCAGCUGGCACUUCUCACUUCCUAAAUAUGAUGGAGCGUGUUUAACGGACACAUGUGGAAAUAAAGAGUCUUGGCUCCAUUACUUGAUCUCUCUGGAACCUGGAAGACACAGAAGACUUGACUGUUUGAAGUGUGGCCUAGUGGAUGUGGGUCAUAUUGGUGCCAGCCCAGCAUCAUCUGAACAGCCUUUCUAAGUUAGGAAAGUAGGCCACGUUACCCGCAUUACUUCACCAGGGUGGAGAUCAGAACUCAGUUUCCCAGACUCACUCCGCAGCUAGGACACAUGCCAACUGGAUGAAACUUCAAAAACAUGGAAGGAUGAAGAGCAAGGAAGCAGCUGCUGCAUGCGGUUGCGUCUUGGUGAUGGGAGCCAAGCAUGGCAGGGGAUGUGGCACCUCUGGAGGCAGCAGGGGCAGAGAUGCUUCCAGUAGCGGGAGACAAGGGUGGUGGGCUCGAACCUGUGCACCUUCAAGUGGGGAGCUGGGUAUCGUUCAUGGCUGCAGAGCCUCAAGCCCCAUUCUCUGACUCUGCCAAAGACUCUGGGAGCCACUGAUAUCCUCUAAGACAUUUUUUUCCUGGGGUGCCUGGGUGGCUGGGUCUGUUAAGUGUCUGCCUUCAGCUGAGGUCAUGAUUCUGGAGUCCCGGAUCUAGGAUCCAGCCUUGGGUGGGGCUCCCUGCGCAACGAGGAAUCUGCUUCUCCCUCUGCCUCUCACCCUACUCAUUCUCUCUCUCAAAUAAAUAAAAUCUUAAAAAAAAAAUUUUGUGCGUG
rnacentral:lncRNA from 12 species